AUUGGAUAUGAAGCUGAGAGAUGAUCUUGAGCGGUUGAAGAAGAUUUCCUUAUGUUCUUAUUAAAUGGCUUCUUCUUUUAAGGGGAAAAAGCUAUUUCCUAUUGCUGCAUUGCAUGUUUGAUUUGUUUUGCAACUGUCUGAUUCUUUGUUGCAGAAGCCACCGCGGUCUUCGUCACUACUAGGGUCUUCGAGUGCGUGGACAGCACACCAAAGCCACUGGACACAGGGGGAAGACUGUUGGCGUCUCCAAGAAGCGAUAAUUUAGUGGUUAUAACAUUUGUGUUUCUGAUUUUCUGAAUAUUUUACAUGUUCCAAGUAUUUUAUUUUUUUUGAAAGAACUUGGAAAGUCUUGGAAUUUUGAUAUCAGCGAAGA
rnacentral:misc_RNA from 1 species